GGGUCAUUACCCAGGUUUGUAGGUUGCAGUCUCUCCUUUGCUGUGCAUAUGACCAUACAAAAUUUCCCACUAGGUUUUCUAUCUGCUGACUUUCUAACAAUCAGCCUAUUGGGGACAAUU
ensembl:snoRNA